rnacentral:tRNA from 1 species
GCCAGCAUGGUGUAGUGGUUUGAGUGUUGGACUACGACUGCGGAGACCAGGGUUCAAUUCCCAGCUCUGCCA